rnacentral:tRNA from 1 species
GAGAGUAAAGCCAAAAUCAAGAGGCGGGCCUCUGUUACAGGCUAUAGUGGAAGGUUUCCUAUCUUA